rnacentral:rRNA from 1 species
AGGGUUUGAUCAUGGCUCAGAUUGAACGCUGGCGGAAUGCUUUACACAUGCAAGUCGAACGGCAGCACGGGUGCUUGCACCUGGUGGCGAGUGGCGAACGGGUGAGUAACAUAUCGGAACGUACCCAGUAAUGGGGGAUAACUAACCGAAAGGUUAGCUAAUACCGCAUACGCCCUGAGGGGGAAAGCGGGGGAUCGAAAGACCUCGCGUUAUUGGAGCGGCCGAUAUCUGAUUAGCUAGUUGGUGAGGUAAAGGCUCACCAAGGCGACGAUCAGUAGCUGGUCUGAGAGGAUGAUCAGCCACACUGGAACUGAGACACGGUCCAGACUCCUACGGGAGGCAGCAGUGGGGAAUUUUGGACAAUGGGCGAAAGCCUGAUCCAGCCAUGCCGCGUGUGUGAAGAAGGUCUUCGGAUUGUAAAGCACUUUAAGUUGGGGAGGAAGGGCAGUAACCUAAUACGUUAUUGUUUUGACGUUACCGACAGAAUAAGCACCGGCUAACUUCGUGCCAGCAGCCGCGGU